GCAAACUUGGUCAUUUAGAGGAAGUAAAAGUCGUAACAAGGUUUCCGUAGGUGAACCUGCGGAAGGAUCAUUAUCGAGUUUUGACUGGGUUGUAGCUGGCCUUCCGAGGCAUGUGCACGCCCUGCUCAUCCACUCUACACCUGUGCACUUACUGUGGGCUUCAGACGUCGUGAAGCGGGCUCUUUACUGAGCCUGUAGAGCGGUGUCUGUGCCUGCGUUUAUCACAAACCCCAUAAAGUAUUAGAAUGUGUAUUGCGAUGUAACGCAUCUAUAUACAACUUUCAGCAACGGAUCUCUUGGCUCUCGCAUCGAUGAAGAACGCAGC
rnacentral:misc_RNA from 1 species